UUAAAUUAAAAACUGCAUAACAUAUUUUCAUAAAAUAUAUUAAUAAUAUUGUGAUUACAAAAGGAAAAAAAAGAAUAAAAAAAUCUCCCAUCUUCAUCCCCAUCUCUCUCUCUCUCUCUCUCUCAACUAUGGAGUUCUGGUGAAUCCUAGCCCAAGAUUCUCCUGCUUCUUCCUGAGCUCACCUGCCCCGGACUGCUUGCCCCUCGGUUCCCUCCAUCGAUGUCGGAGGCGGUGGUGGUCGAGCAGCGGCGAGGGAGAACCGACGGGAAGUCGCCGCUGAGACUCCGGCUCCGGCUCCGGCUCCUGCUCUGGGUGGCGAUGACGUCGAGGAACAGAUGGCGGCGAUCGCGAACGAGCUCUAGUGCCGAAAAGUUGGCGGGUACUACCGGAUGGCCCGCGAAGUUCGGCCAUCUCCAGGUUCGAAUCCUUUGGCCUCCCUUUUGAUUGGAUAGGCGUUUCCUGGUUAUUAGGGUUUUUAAGUUUUUUCUGUUCGAUGUUUGGUGGAGUAUUGGCUACACGAUCGUCGUUCAAGGUCGUCCUUCCACGGAUGACACUUCAUAAUUUGAUCGAAGUAAUCGCGGCAGCUCAGUUAGGUUUUAUGUUCUUCGUCAAGAGCUUGUUUGGGUGCCUGCGAUUGUGAACCGUAACGGACUGGCAUUUGGAUAAUGGCGACUUACUGGUAUGUUGAUCGGGUUAGGUCUUGAACGCAUAGCUUGUUUACAGGGUAAGUAACUUUUGCUUGAAUCAUUCUGUGGUAUGAACUCUUUCGGUUGAUAGUUUCUUGGAAUUCUCCAUGCUCUGGGAACUUUGACAUGUCAAUGUAGUCAUUUCUUUUCUUGCAUACAUGUUAUGUAGACUUGUCUUUGUUAUCCCUGUAACCAUGUUUGGAGUUACAUGGAGUACCAGUGCUAAGAAAGGUUAGGAUUGCUUGGUGUCAAAAUUCUCAAGUCAACAAUUUAGUUGGUUCAUCUGGUCAUCCCAUUUGAGACUAAAUUAGGAUGCACAAUCUCUCUACUCAAAGCUCAAUGUCCUUGUUAAGGCUCAAACCGAUGCAUAGCCUGAGAUCGCCAUGGUAAGGACCUUAUCAUGGACUAAUUAAUUUGAUGAUAGUAGGAUAUCUAAUCUUAUAUAUAACCAUAUUCAUCUUCCCGUUGCCGAUGUUGGAAUAAAAUGGUGUCACAUUUCAAUGUCAUGUUUUGAUAUGAUUCAAGUCAUAUAUCGAAAGGGCUACAUCAUGCAUAAACACUUAAUUCAAAAUUCUAAUUCCAAAAUUAAUCUUACCGAACUCGGUUAAAAUACUGGUAUAACAACUCAACCAAACAAGAGCCAAUCAUUCUGACCAUCAUUUCUGCCACUUGUUCAAUGUUUCAUCAAAUUUGGAGGACCAAGUUUUUGCAAGGUGAGGAAUUAUUAUGCCCGAAUUUUGACUGAAAUUGACUAAGGGGCUUUUUGGAGUUUGAAUCUUGUAUGAAGGAUUUAUGCAAGGCGAGGAAUUAUUAUGGCCGAAUUUUACCUGAAAUUGACUAAGGGCACUUUGGAGUUUGGAUCGUCUAUGAAGGAUUUAUGCACCGUGCGACCCUCUCGUUAAACUGGAGCAUGACAACAUAUGGACAUUUGGCCUUUCUUGCAUGUGUAAAUAUUUUAGAUGAAUGGCUAAGUUUUAUCUGGAGCAAAUUUUUCAUCAACUAUGAAUAAUAGGUGGCAAGAGAAGCUCAAAAAUGUUUAUUGUAUCUUGAACUAGUGGAUCGUAUUUUUUGAAAAAUCAAUCUUUAUUACUGACUUGUCAAUAUGGUAAUAGCUUAAUUUUGCAUUAUAGUAAAAUUACUCUUGGAUUUUGUAUAUGAACUUAGUUGCUGGACUUCUUUGGAAAUAUGGAAUAUUUCCAUAAUAAAAUGUAAUGUAUAAUCUGGAUCCAAUGUUUCUGUCUGAUAUGUCUUUUUAAAGUUUUGAUCUCACAUUUUUCCAAAACAGCAUCGUGAGGUAUUAAAUGAGAAAUCUUCAAUUUCUUUUUCUGGCUUUGGCCAUGUUUCUUCACUUGGAGCAUGGAAAUUUUUGUGCGUUCAAAAUAUUAAAUGAAUUUUUCUAGCCUUUGCCAGGUGCUUGUAUUCAGUGAACAGAAGUGAAUAUGGACAUACUUGGAUCCACUUGCUUCCAAUCUGCUUUUAGCUCUUGCCUGUUAUCCAUGUUGGGCUAGCAAUUUUUGUUUCUAGUGCUGAAUCGCUCGCUUACCGGUUUGUUGUUUCUGCUAUAUGGUUUUUCUUUUGGGUACAACAGCACAAGUUUGGCAUGGAUGACCAUAAUGUGCAUUUGUUUUUGAAAAUACAAUCUCUGAAUAAGAGGUUGAGAAUAAUUGAGUUUGUUGCUGCAUGGGAUUUUUGUUUUCUUGGCUCAAUCAGGUUGUGCUACUUUUAGUACAAGUUAGUCUUUUACUUUAAACUUCAUAGCUGGUCCAAUGUCUUUUGAAUUGUCAUAUGACUUUUGCUCCUACAUUGACAGCAACAAACAAAAAGAAUAUGCAUCUUGAACAUAUGCCCGGAUUAAGUGAUUAGAAGCUCAUUUUAUAAUAAGUCUUUGAUUGUAUUUUUGUGUUCAAUUCCUUUCAUAUUUGAUCUUCCGUGAUAGUAGCGUAUGACAGCUCUGGUAUCAUCCUGCUGCUACAUCAAAGAACUCCUUGUCAUGUACCAUCCACACAGCACUGUGGAUUGAGGAUGGAAAGGUCUUGAACACCUUUUGAUCACUUGGUUAAGUCGCAACAAGGAGAUCGACUCCAUUGAACAUUUUAAUGAGAAGGUCCUGGCCAAGCAAGAAAAAGAUAACCUUCAGAUUCUCGGUGUGGACCGCUAAAACAUAUUGUAAGCAUGAAACAGUGUGAGGAAUUCAUAUCUCAUUGAAGUUGGCAGAAUUGAAUUCAUGACAACUACAUUCAUCUUCCUCUGGGAACCAGCUGUUCUUGACAUUCAGAAAAAGGAUUGAGGAGCUCUGCACAUAUGGUACCCAUACUGCAAAACCAAAUAAGAUUGACAUAGUCCGCAACCAAGGCUGAAGAUUGAAUGUGCAGAUGAGGGAGAAGUCUCAGCAGAGAAUUGCAUAGCAAAGAUGCACUCCAGAUUGCCCCUGCCAUAUUCUACAAUGAGAAACACUAGUUAUUAUACAUUGUUCUGUAGCUGUAAUAAUCUCGUGACACUUAGGUUCUGCACUUGUUGUAUGAUGGAAUGCUAAUUGAUCAUAAUAGAAUGAAUCUGAAUACAAAUUACAAUUUUGCUGGAUUA